AGAGUUUGAUCCUGGCUCAGAUUGAACGCUGGCGGCACGCUUAACACAUGCAAGUCGAGCGGUAGCAUGACGAGUAGCAAUACUCGUUGAUGACGAGCGGCGGACGGGUGAGGAAGACGUAGGAAUCUGCCCAGAAGAGGGGGACAACCAAGGGAAACUUUGGCUAAUACCGCGUAAACUCGAGAGAGGAAAGUUGCCUGCAAGGGUGACACUUUUGGAGGAGCCUGCGUCCGAUUAGCUAGUUGGUGAGGUAAGAGCUCACCAAGGCGAUGAUCGGUAACUGGUCUGAGAGGACGACCAGUCACACUGGGACUGAGACACGGCCCAGACUCCUACGGGAGGCAGCAGUGGGGAAUCUUGGACAAUGGGGGCAACCCUGAUCCAGCGAUGCCGCGUGGGUGAAGAAGGCCUUCGGGUUGUAAAGCCCUUUAGGUCGGGAAGAAGCGUAUGGAGUGAUAAGCUUUAUACGUUGACGGUACCGACAGAAUAAGA
rnacentral:rRNA from 1 species